GAUUGAACGCUGGCGGCAGGCCUAACACAUGCAAGUCGAGCGGCAGCGGGAAAGUAGCUUGCUACUUUUGCCGGCGAGCGGCGGACGGGUGAGUAAUGCCUGGGAAAUUGCCCAGUCGAGGGGGAUAACAGUUGGAAACGACUGCUAAUACCGCAUACGCCCUACGGGGGAAAGCAGGGGACCUUCGGGCCUUGCGCGAUUGGAUAUGCCCAGGUGGGAUUAGCUAGUUGGUGAGGUAAUGGCUCACCAAGGCGACGAUCCCUAGCUGGUCUGAGAGGAUGAUCAGCCACACUGGAACUGAGACACGGUCCAGACUCCUACGGGAGGCAGCAGUGGGGAAUAUUGCACAAUGGGGGAAACCCUGAUGCAGCCAUGCCGCGUGUGUGAAGAAGGCCUUCGGGUUGUAAAGCACUUUCAGCGAGGAGGAAAGGUCAGUAGCUAAUAUCUGCUGACUGUGACGUACUCGCAGAAGAAGCACCGSCUAACUCCGU
rnacentral:rRNA from 1 species